rnacentral:rRNA from 1 species
UACGUAGGGACCGAGCGUUGUCCGGAAUCAUUGGGCGUAAAGAGCGUGUAGGCGGCUAUUUAAGUCCUGCGUGAAAUCCUGCGGCUCAACCGCAGACGGUCGUGGGAAACUGGAUGGCUAGAGUGCGGGAGAGGAGAGUGGAAUUCCCAGUGUAGAGGUGAAAUUCGUAGAUAUUGGGAAGAACACCGGUGGCGAAGGCGGCAUCCUGGACCGGUAUUGACGCUGAGGCGCGAAAGCCAGGGGAGCAAACGGG